CACCUCCACGAAAGGGAAAGGCUGGAGUAGCAGGCCCCAGCAGGCCCGGCGCAUUGGUGCCCGUAGGUGGACAGGUCUACGCGGCCUGCAACACUGAACCCACUCACGAGACUGCAUACCGCAUACCGCAGAUACGAACCCACCCCAGCAGAUGGCGCCGCAGGAACCCACAGCAAAACCAGCCCAACUGGGCUCCAACAGAUACUCCAAGAGGCGCACAAAGAGGAGCUGAGAGGAGACAUAGAGACACACAAAGAGGAGCUCAGAGGAGACAUAGAGACACAUAGAGGGCUGAGGGGCACAUAGACACACAGAGGGGCUGGGGGCACAAAAAAACACACAGAAGGGCUGGUGGCACAAAGAGGAACAUAGAAGCACUUGGGGGGCAAAGAGAAACAGAGGGGCUGGGGAAGGGGAAAAAAGAGACACACAAAGGAGUUGGGGAGACCAGACACACAUAAGGGCUGUGGAGAGAGAGACACAAAAGGGAAGGGAAAAAAAUAGACACACAAAGGAAAUAGAUGCCUGCUGGUGGAAGAAAGAGGCCAGUCACAGUUGCCAGCACCAGUCAGCUGGCUAGCCACAGAAGCCAGCCUGCCUGCCAAACAGCCACAGUAGCCUGCCAGCCAACCAAAGCAGCCAGCCAGUCGGCCACAGCAGCCAGCUGGCCACAGCAGCCAACCAACAACAGUAAUUAAGGUUAGAAGAGGCAGCUUGAGCUGGGUAUCACAGAGCUGUGUUACAUCACCA